UAUGGUUGUGUGCCAGCAGCCGCGGUAAUACGGAAGGUCCGGGCGUUAUCCGGAUUUAUUGGGUUUAAAGGGAGCGUAGGCCGGAGAUUAAGCGUGUUGUGAAAUGUAGACGCUCAACGUCUGCACUGCAGCGCGAACUGGUUUCCUUGAGUACGCACAAAGUGGGCGGAAUUCGUGGUGUAGCGGUGAAAUGCUUAGAUAUCACGAAGAACUCCGAUUGCGAAGGCAGCUCACUGGAGCGCAACUGACGCUGAAGCUCGAAAGUGCGGGUAUCGAACAGG
rnacentral:rRNA from 1 species